AAGCCCGCUGGGUAGGGACCCACGGAGCAAAGCCUGCCGGGUAGGGACCUCAGGGCAAAGCCCUCUGGGUAGGGACCCGCGGAGCAAAGCCUGCCGGGUAGGGGCCUUAGGACAGAGCCCGCUGGGUAGAGACCCGUGGAGCAAAGCCUGCCAGGUAGGGGCCUCGGGGCAAAGCCCACGGGGUAGGGACCUGUGGAGCAAAGCCUGCCAGGUAGGGGCCUUAGGACAAAGCCCGCUGGGUAGGGACCCACGGAGCAAAGCCUGCCGGGUAGGGACCUCAGGGCAAAGCCCUCUGGGUAGGGACCCGCGGAGCAAAGCCUGCCGGGUAGGGGCCUUAGGACAGAGCCCGCUGGGUAGAGACCCGUGGAGCAAAGCCUGCCAGAGAGUAAGGAAGAAGACCCUACUUAACAAGGAGGAAGAGUGGAUAUUUGGAGCAUGGAAAAGGAGGGAUAAAAAGUUACCGUGCCUUGCUGAUACGGUUUUCCAACGGCCUGUUUGCUUUCUGCUGCACAUUUUUUUGUUAUACUGACUUCUGAUACACAAAUAUUACACUAUCUGUUUACUGCUGUUACAGAGGUAUAAAGAACACUUGUUAUCACGGUUCUUUUUAUUCUGUACUUAGGCUUUCAUUUUAUUUUUAAAAUAAGUCCUUGAACAUGAAUGGUCAUGGAAAAUUUACUGUUGUAUAAUUGCACAUAAUCCCCAAACUUCAUCCAAAAACAAUUCCUGGGUAGCAGAGAACUGUCAUAUUCAAUUGUGUUUCUUCAUAACAACAACCUUUGUGGGGGAAAAAGCAAUUUCGCUUGCUUCAUUUUCAUACAGACUAGAAGUCCAAUUGUGCUUUUGUAAUUAAGUCCCCUCACAUCAAGAGAAAAGAGUAUGUCUAUGAAAUGUGCAUUGAACCCAAAUGGGAAAGUUAAUUCAAAAUAAAAAGCAGUGAUUA